rnacentral:rRNA from 1 species
UACGUAGGGGGCAAGCGUUGUCCGGAAUCAUUGGGCGUAAAGAGCGUGUAGGCGGCCUGAUAAGUCGGCUGUGAAAGUCAAGGGCUCAACCCUUGAAUGCCGGCCGAUACUGUCAGGCUAGAGUCCGGAAGAGGCGAGUGGAAUUCCUGGUGUAGCGGUGAAAUGCGCAGAUAUCAGGAGGAACACCGGUGGCGAAGGCGGGACUCUGGGCCGAUACUGACGCUGAGGAGCGAAAGCGUGGGGAGCAAACAGG